CCUACGGGAGGCAGCAGUGGGGAAUAUUGCACAAUGGGGGAAACCCUGAUGCAGCGACGCCGCGUGAGUGAAGAAGUAUUUCGGUACGUAAAGCUCUAUCAGCAGGGAAGAAAAUGACGGUACCUGACUAAGAAGCCCCGGCUAACUACGUGCCAGCAGCCGCGGUAAUACGUAGGGGGCAAGCGUUAUCCGGAUUUACUGGGUGUAAAGGGAGCGUAGACGGCAGCGCAAGUCUGGAGUGAAAUCCCAUGGCUUAACCAUGGAACUGCUUUGGAAACUGUGCAGCUAGAGUGCAGGAGAGGUAAGCGGAAUGCCUAGUAUAGCGGUGAAAUGCGUAGAUAUUAGGAGGAACACCAGUGGCGAAGGCGGCUUACUGGACUGUAACUGACGUUGAGGCUCGAAAGCGUGGGGAGCAAACAGGAUUAGAUACCCUGGUAGUC
rnacentral:rRNA from 1 species